rnacentral:lncRNA from 10 species
GGUUAAUGCCCUCCUUCAAGGUGAGUGAGUUCUCUAUUAGUUCUCAUGAAAGUUGGUUGUUAAAAAGAACCCAACAUCUCCCCUCUCUUUCUUGCUUCCUCUCUUACCAUAUGAUCUCUGCACACACUGUUUCCCUUUCACCUUCUACCAUGAGUUGAAGCAGAAGCCCUCACCAGAAGCCAAGCAGAUGUUGGUACCUUGCUUCUUGCACAUUCUGCAGAACUGAAUUCAACUCCUUGUAUGAGGCAUUGCCUCAAGAUGAAGAGCUUCCAGCUCCCCACCUGGUGUCCCUAAGUGGCAGCAGAGGCUGCUGCUGUAUUCCUGAGUCCUAGUUUUAUGCAUCCAUUUGUCUCAGAUCUCAUCAGUCCUUCCUCUUCAAUUGAUUCAAGGCCUCAACCCCAAAUGCUUCCUGCAUUGCUCUGCAGCACCCUCCAGCCCUACUGAUGCCCAUCAAGUCAUAGGAAUCACACUUGUCCUCUAUGGAGACCCAAACAUUAAAUAAUUAAAACAAUGAGAGAAGAUUUGGGAAGCAAAGUCGAUGCACUUUUCUGCAUAGCCACAGAGCUGAGUCAUCUAAGCUCUGUACAGAUUCAUCAAUUGAAAUUGUCUGUGAUGGUUAAUUUUCUGUGUUAACUUGGCUUGGCAAUGGUGCCCAGUUGUUGUCAAAUAUCAGUCUACAUGUUGCUGUGAAGUUAUUUUUUAAACGUGAUUAACAUUUAAAUUGGCAGACUUUGAGUAAAGCUGAUUACCUUCUAUAGUGUGAGUGGCCCUCACCCAAUCGUUGAAGAUGUUAAGAGAGAAAACUGAGAUCCCUCAAAGAGGAAGGAAUUCUGCCUCCAAAUUGCUUUCCUUUGGGCUUGAGUUGCAACAUUAACUUUUUCCUUAGUAUCUG